AAUGAACGCUGGCGGCAUGCCUUACACAUGCAAGUCGAACGGCAGCAUGACCUCGCUUGCUGGGGUGAUGGCGAGUGGCGAACGGGAGAGUAAUGCAUCGGAACGUGCCUGUUAGUGGGGGAUAACGUAGCGAAAGUUACGCCAAUACCGCAUAUUCUCAGAGGAGGAAAGCGGGGGACCUUCGGGCCUUGCGCUAGAAGAGCGGCCGAUGUCGGAUUAGCUAGUUGGUGAGGUAAAGGCUCACCAAGCCAACGAUCCGUAGCGGGUCUGAGAGGAUGAUCAGCCACACUGGGACUGAGACACGGCCCAGACUCCUACGGGAGGCAGCAGUGGGGAAUUUUGGACAAUGGGCGCAAGCCUGAUCCAGCCAUGCCGCGUGCGUGAUGAAGGCCUUCGGGUUGUAAACCGCUUUCGUCUGGGACGAAAACGCUCCCUCUAAUACAGGGUGUGGAUGACGGUACCGGAAGAAGAAGCACCGGCUAACUACGUG
rnacentral:rRNA from 1 species